UACAGAGGGUGCAAGCGUUAAUCGGAAUGACUGGGCGUAAAGGGUGCGUAGGUGGUUAAUUAAGUGAGAUGUGAAAUCCCCGGGCUUAACCUGGGAACGGCAUUUGAUACUGAUUGACUCGAGUAUAGGAGAGGUAAGUGGAAUUUCCGGUGUAGCGGUGAAAUGCGUAGAUAUCAGGAGGAACACCGGUGGCGAAGGCGGGUCUCUGGGCCGAUACUGACGCUGAGGAGCGAAAGCGUGGGGAGCGAACAGG
rnacentral:rRNA from 1 species